GCUCACUUCGGCAGCCCAUGUAUUAAACUUGGAAUGAUACAGAGAAGAUUAGCAUGUCCCCUGUGUAAGGAUGACAUGCAAAUUUGUGCAACAUUCCAUAUAUUU